CUACGGGUGGCUGCAGUGAGGAAUUUUGCGCAAUGGGGGAAACCCUGACGCAGCAACGCCGCGUGAGUGAUGAAGGCCUUCGGGUCGUAAAGCUCUGUCAAGUGGGAAGAACCUAUAUAAUGCCAAUACCAUUAUAUAUUGACGGUACCACUGAAGGAAGCACCGGCUAACUCCGUGCCAGCAGCCGCGGUAAUACGGGGGGUGCAAGCGUUAUUCGGAAUCAUUGGGCGUAAAGAGCACGUAGGCGGCCUGGUAAGUCAGAUGUGAAAGCCCGGGGCUUAACCGCGGAAGUGCAUUUGAUACUGUCAGGCUUGAGUAUGGGAGAGGGAAGUGGAAUUCCUGGUGUAGAGGUGAAAUUCGUAGAUAUCAGGAGGAACACCGGUGGCGAAGGCGACUUCCUGGACCAAUACUGACGCUGAGGUGCGAAGGCGUGGGUAGCAAACAGGAUUAGAUACCCUCGUAGUC
rnacentral:rRNA from 1 species